AUAAAACAUUUUUUACAUAAGUAAAUAUUUAUUAUUUUAUAUUAUACAACUCAAGUAUGUGUAUACAUACAUUUUUUCUAAAUAGAAACAUGACAAAAAGUAUCUAGUCUAACCUUUCGAAAUCUCUGUAAUUUCCAUAACUGCAGAUCACUUGAAGUUUUGACAAUUAAUAUGUGACAUUACACCAAUUUGUCUUCUACUAUCAUGUCUACCAUCAAAGUUGUUAUAUGUGUGUUAAUAUAUUUAUGUGUAAAUGUUUUCACCCUAGACUGCUAUACCUGUUAUCAUCCAUCGAAUACAAACAAUUCGUGCUACCAUGUGCAUGAUAUAGACCACGAGACAUGCCAAAAUAGCUUACAUAAGUGCGUAAAAUUACGACGUGAAAGGUACAUAACUUCCAGAUCUUGUGGUAUACCUUGCAAAGAUUUCAUCAGGGUAAACCGAAAUUUUAAAUGUUUUGAUUGCGAAAAUGACCUCUGUAAUUCAGUAGGAAAGAGGGGUUUAACCUGGUUUGUGCUACUGGCUCAUACUUUUGUACUCACUAUUCUGAUUAUUUUCUCUGUCAUUUUAUUGCGUUGAGAAUGUAUGUAUUUGAUUGUUUCAUUUUCCAUUACUAUUGUUCCAGAGCUGUAGAUUAUUUUAUUAAAAGAUUUGGAUAUAAAUUUAAGAUAUUAGUGUCAUCCUGUUAAGUUGAUUGAUGCUUUUAAGAUUUUAGGUAUUCUGUAACUUAUGUAUACAACUUUUUGAUGAAUAUCAAUUUUCUUAUGUAUAACUACAGGAAAGUCACAAAAAGAAGUGACGUUCGUAUUAAUAUUUCACACAAAUAUUAUUUAGGAGAAACGCUAAAAUGUUAUACGUGCAACAACAAAGAUUACGUGAAGAAUCCAUGCUCUCUUGAAGAGGCUCCAAGUAACGAGACAUGUCGAAGUCCAAUAUUUAAGUGCAUAAUGCUGUAAGUACCCGUAACAUUUCAAAUAGUACUCAUGUAAAGAAUUUCUGAUGAAGCCCUAGACUGCUACACCUGUUAUCACCCAGUGAAUACGAACAAUACGUGCUACCAUGUGUAUGGCAUAGACUUCGAGACAUGCGAGAAUAGCUCACACAUUUGUGUGAAGCUGAGACGUGAAAGCUACAUAACUUCGAGGUCGUGUCAAAAGCCAUGUAAAGAGUUCAUCAGGAUUAACCGAAAUUUUAAGUGUUAUGAAUGCGAUACUGACCUCUGCAAUUCAGUAGGAACGACAGGUCAUUCUUUGCUUCUACCAUUGACCCUCAAUUUUAUACUCAUAAUUCUGAUUCAAUAAAUAAAACGCGUCUUCUAUA